rnacentral:lncRNA from 1 species
UGGUAUUAUUGCCAAUGAGACAACUAUCCACAAAAGACCAAAAUGACACAGACAUUAACAACUAUAGGUCACCGUACGGCCUUCAACAACUAGCAAAGCCCAUACCGCAUAGUCAGCUAUAAAAGGCCCCGAUAUGACAAUGUAAAACAAUUCAAACGAGAAAACUAACGGCCUUAUUUAUGUAAAAAAAAGAACGAAAAACAAAUAUGUAACACACAAACAAACGACAACCACUGAAUUACAGGCUCCUGACUUGGGACAGGCACAUACAUAAAUAAUGUGGCGGGGUUAAACAUGUUAGCGGGAUCCCAACCCUCCCCCUAACCUGGGACAGUGGUAUAACAGUACAACAUAAGAACGAACUAUAAAAAACAAUUGAAAAUGGCUUAACUCAUCAGAUGGACA